CCCAGGGCUUUCGCCCUGGGCUACUCUAUGCCGCCCCUCUCGGGGCU
rnacentral:sRNA from 1 species